AUGACAGGAUCCAACUCGAGUCUACAUGGACAUCAACAUGUGGAAGAUGAUCUCCCAAAAACUCGCGCAACACUUGGUGAUGUGAUUGAGGAGAGUAUAGUUGCAGCUAUGAGAAGGAUGUUCGGUGGUCGUCUUCCUAUCGCGGGUAAUGGGGAUCAACACCAACACAGCCCCGCUGCCUCGCUGGCUGCCGACAACCGGCAACGUCAAGGAAAUGACGAUCGCCAUGUUGGUCGUGGAAGAGCGGCAGGAGUUGCUGCCCACGGCGCCCCUGCUAUUGGUGCUGAACGGAGGCGUGGCGACUUUGCUGCCCCCGUGAGGGUGGGCUGCAUGGAGGAAAAGCUCGCGGGCGAGGCCAUGACCCCCGCGGGUUUGCUGCGGAUCACCGGCGACGAGCAACACAUGAUGGUGAUGCCGUCUUCCUUGAAGAUCUCUCCGAGCAUGGUGACGAAGAUGAAGGCAUGGGGGAUUAUGAACCGUACUCCCCGCCUCGCCGCGGUGCUGCUUUUGAUCGCAAUGGUCAUCAUUAUGACCGUCAUGAUCAGGAUGACCGUGACAACCAAGCGAGAGUGA
rnacentral:rRNA from 1 species